rnacentral:rRNA from 1 species
AUUGAACGCUGGCGGCAUGCCUUACACAUGCAAGUCGAACGGCAGCACGGGAGCUUGCUCCUGGUGGCGAGUGGCGAACGGGUGAGUAAUACAUCGGAACGUACCCUGAAGUGGGGGAUAACGUAGCGAAAGUUACGCUAAUACCGCAUAUUCUGUGAGCAGGAAAGAGGGGGAUCGCAAGACCUCUUGCUUUAGGAGCGGCCGAUGUCGGAUUAGCUAGUUGGUGAGGUAAAGGCUCACCAAGGCGACGAUCCGUAGCGGGUCUGAGAGGAUGAUCCGCCACACUGGGACUGAGACACGGCCCAGACUCCUACGGGAGGCAGCAGUGGGGAAUUUUGGACAAUGGGCGCAAGCCUGAUCCAGCCAUGCCGCGUGAGUGAAGAAGGCCUCGGUUGGUUAAGGUACGUACUUUCGUUCGGGGUAAGGGUAAAGUUAAGUGUUACGGUUAAGUUAACCUUACGGUAGUAAGG